rnacentral:rRNA from 1 species
CCUACGGGAGGCAGCAGUGAGGAAUAUUGGUCAAUGGACGCGAGCCUGAACCAGCCAAGUCGCGUGAAGGAAGACGGUCCUAUGGGUUGUAAACCUCUUUUAUCUGGGAGCAAAAUACUCCACGCGUGGCGUUCCGUGAGUACCCGAAGAAAAAGCAUCGGCUAACUCCGUGCCAGCAGCCGCGGUAAUACGGAGGAUGCGAGCGUUAUCCGGAUUUAUUGGGUUUAAAGGGUGCGCAGGCGGAAGAUCAAGUCAGCGUUAAAAUUUAGAGGCUCAACCUCUUCGAGCCGUUGAAACUGGUAGUCUUGAGUGCGCGAGAAGUAUGCGGAAUGCGUGGUGUAGCGGUGAAAUGCAUAGAUAUCACGAAGAACUCCGAUUGCGAAGGCAGUACACCGGCGCUCAACUGACGCUCAGGCACGAAAGUGUGGGUAUCGAACAGGAUUAGAUACCCCUGUAGUC